UAUUGCACAAUGGGGGAAACCCUGAUGCAGCGACGCCGCGUGAGUGAAGAAGUAUUUCGGUGUGUAAAGCUCUAUCAGCAGGGAAGAUAAUGACGGUAACUGACUAAGAAGCCCCCGGUAACUACGUGCCAGCAGCCGCGGAAAUACGUAGGGGGCAAGCGUUAUCCGGAUUUACUGGGUGUAAAGGGAGCGUAGGUGGCAGGGCAAGUCAGAUGUGAAAGCCCGGGGCUCAACCCCGGGAGUGCAUUUGAAACUGUCCAGCUGGAGUGCAGGAGAGGUAAGCGGAAUUCCUAGUGUAGCGGUGAAAUGCAUAGAUAUUAGGAGGAACACCAGUGGCGAAGGCGGCUUACUGGACUGUAACUGACACUGAGGCUCGAAAGCGUGGGGGGCAAACAGG
rnacentral:rRNA from 1 species